GAGUGAGACUGCGUGCGACAAGGUUCGUAGUCAAGAGGGAAACAGCCCAGACCAACAACUAAGGUCCCAAAAUACCGCUAAGUGUAAAAUGAAGUGUUAAUGCACAGACAGCCAGGAGGUUGGCUUAGAAGCAGCCAUUCAUUAAAAGAGUGCGUAAUAGCUCACUGGUCGAGCAUUGAUGCGCAGAUAAUGUAACGGGGCUAAGCGGUAUACCGAAGUUUUGGAUUUUACUUUUAUGAGUAAGAUGGUAGGGGAGCAUUCCAUGUGCUGAAGAAGGCGUACCUGUGAGGGGCGCUGGAGGUAGUGGAAGAGAGAAUGCAGGUAUAAGUAACGCAAAGACGGGUGAGAUCCCCGUCCGCCGAAAACCUAAGGUUUCCUGGGUAAAGGCAAUCUGCCCAGGGUAAGUCGGCCCCUAAGGCGAGGACGAAAGUCGUAGUCGAUGGGAAUCUGGUUCAAAGUCCAGAACCUUUAUUAGUUUCGAGGGCAAGACGCAUGAGGUGAAACCCGGCCAGAGAAUGGUAGUUCUGGUCGAAGCAGUAAGCUGAAGAGGUAUGUAGGCAAAUCCGCAUACCGAGGUGAGCUGUGACAGCGAGCGGAGAGAAAGUCGAAGUGAAGCGGGUGUAAUCAUGGUGCCGAGAAAUACUGUCUAAGGCUAGGCUAAUAGAGACCGUACCGGAAACCGACACAGGUAGGAAGGAUGAGAAAUCUAAGGCGCACGAGAGACCUCGCGUUAAGGAACUCGGCAAAAUGCACACGUAACUUCGGGAGAAGUGUGGCCCAAUUUGGUUAAAGAAGAGGGUGGCACAGAGCAGGCCCAGGCGACUGUUUAUCAAAAACACAGCCAUCUGCGAAUCAGUAAUGAGACGUAUAGGUGGUGACACCUGCCCGGUGCUGGAAGGUUAAGAGGAGAUGUCAAGGGAGCCCUGAAGCAUUGAAUCGAAGCCCCAGUAAACGGCGGCCGUAACUAUAACGGUCCUAAGGUAGCGAAAUUCCUUGUCGGGUAAGUUCCGACCCGCACGAAUGGUGUAACGAUUCUGGGCACUGUCUCAACGCGAGACUCGGUGAAAUUUAUAUACCGGUAAAGAAGCCGGUUACCCACAGUUAGACGGAAAGACCCCGUGAACCUUCACCGUAACUUACUAUUGGGAUCUUAUUUAUCAUGUGUAGGAUAGGUGGGAGACAGAGAAACAUGGCCGUUAGGUUGUGUGGAGUCGUUGGUGAAAUACCACCCUUGAUGAAUGAGAUUUCUAACC
rnacentral:rRNA from 1 species